rnacentral:tRNA from 1 species
GCGCGUUGGCGGGGUCGGCGCUGCUCACCUCCUGGGUGAGCCGGUCGGCCAGCAGCCGGGGGUCGCCGACCUGGCCGUACA